AGAGAGAGAGAGAAAGAAAGAAAGGGAUAAUUAGUUAAUGUUAGGACUUGUUUCUUGUAAGUUAGAAGUAUUAAUCAAGAGGUUGAUUGAAGCCUUGUGGUACUUUCAGAAUGGGUGUCAGUGUAUUAAUUAAUUAGUAGAGGAACAGUUGUCUUCUUUCGGUAGAUGCUACAUGCUAGUGUUGUGACCCUUUUUGAUGAGUGGUUAAUUACAGCUUCUUAUGAAAUUCUAUGCUGAGGCAGCUAGGUGAGAUUUUAUUCACUAUUUGAAUCCCAAACUUUUUGUUUGCUUCUAGAUGCUACAUCACAUAUAUGUGGUUGGAAUUUAUUUCGUAGUUAUUAAGGGUGCAAGGUGCAUUAAGGUGCAAAAAGGUCUUGGAGCCUAAGCCCAAGGCAUACGUGCACAUUUGAUAAAGGUGAGGUAUAAAAGAAAUAAAGUUUAAGAUAAAAUAUUCACAAUAUAAGACUAUUAUAAAGUGUUCACAAUAUAACCCUUAAAGAAACUAUAAAACAACUACUUACUGGCAAGCAUGAAAUAAUUUUCUUCAGGGAGAGAGUCUGGGCUAUUACUUUUUGGACUUUGUGAAGGAUAAGAAUAGAUG
rnacentral:misc_RNA from 1 species